CGUAGUAAGCGGUGUUCGUAGCUC
rnacentral:siRNA from 1 species